rnacentral:rRNA from 1 species
CCUGCCGGAAAGUGGGGGACAACCACUCGAAAGAGUGGCUAAUACCGCAUGUGGUCCCGGGGACUUCGGUUCCUGUGGCUAAAGCAGCAAUGCGCUUUCCGAUGGGCCCGAUCCCCAUUAGCUAGUUGGUAGGGUAAUGGCCUACCAAGGCUACGAUGGGUAGCUGGCCUGAGAGGGUGGUCAGCAACACGAGGACUGAGAUACGGCCUCGACUCCUACGGGGGGCAGCAGUCUAGAGGCUUCGGCAAUGGACGAAAGUCUGACCGAGCGACGCCGCGUGGAGGAUGAAGGUCUUCGGAUUGUAAACUCCUUUCGGCCGGAAAGAAAGCUUGGAUGGCGAAUCCAGGUGUGACUGACCGGCGGAAGAAGCCCCGGCUAACUUCGUGCCAGCAGCUGCGGUAAUACGAAGGGGGCAAGCGUUAUUCGGAUUUAUUGGGCGUAAAGGGCGUGUAGGCGGCUCGGCAAGUCUGGUGUGAAAACGCUACCGCUUAACGGAGCGAAUGCGCUGGAUACUGCCGAACUUGAGUUCGAGAGAGGUGGGCGGAAUACCUGGUGUAGCGGUGGAAUGCGUAGAGAUCAGGUGGAACACCCGAGGCGAAGGCGGCCCACUGGCUCGACACCGACGCUGAGGCGCGAAAGCGUGGGGAUCAAACGGGAUUAGAUACCCCGGUAGUCCACGCUGUAAACGGUGAGUGCUAGUCGUUGGGGGUACCCAUUCCCUCAGUGACGUCGUUAACACAAUAAGCACUCCGCCUGGGAAGUACGGCCGCAAGGUUGAAACUCAAAGGAAUUGACGGGGGCCCGCACAAGCGGUGGAGCAUGUGAUUUAAUUCGACGCAACGCGAAGAACCUUACCUGGGCUCGAACGGUAGCUUAUAUCAGCCGAAAGGCUGUGUCCUUCGGGAGUGCUAUCGAGGUGCUGCAUGGCUGUCGUCAGCUCGUGUC